UGCAGGGGUUGGACUCAGUGAUCUCUGGAGGCUGGAGAUGCUGUUUGCUAAUGGCAGAUGGAGAGAGGAAAAGCAAGUGCAAGGCAUGCUGUGCAUAGCCACCACAUGGCAUCUGCACCAUUUCCCCCUGCACCAAGGAGGAGCAGCUCACAAGCUUGGCCUGGGCCAGGGAAGGGAGCAGACAAACAUCUGGACCGACCCCAAACGAGCUGGUUCUGCAGCUGUGCCAACGCUUUGAUCCCUUGCUGCUUGGAUGGGGCAUUUGAAGAAUGAUGCCUGUGCUGAUGUCCAGCCAGGCUUUGGGGAUGAGUCUCCACACCAGGGUCCGUCUGACAGGACUGAGGGCUGGGGAUCCAGCCAGUUGAAAUAGAUGGGUGCUGCAACAUGCCCUUGAAUGUAACAAAACCCACUCUAGUGUGGAUUUGACAUGGGCCCAGCACUGCAAGGUACGCUGCUGGGAGGAAGCGUCCAUCUGGCUGAGGGCAGGAAGGCCCUCCAGAGGGAUGCACUGAGGCCAGUUGUGCGAGGCUCAACAAGAGCAAGCGCCAGGUCCUGCGCUUUGGUCAUGACGACCCCGUGCCAGCUUCUCCAGGAUUUGGCUGGGGUAGAAUUCCAAGCAGCCCCUGAUUCCAGAACGUUGGGCUGGGCUGUUGGAAUCUUCUGCCCUUGAGACUGGUCUUGCCUCCCCACCCUGUCCGUCGUGGUGGAGCAGCCUGGUGGCCCUCAGUGAUGUCAUAAGGGCUAGAAUGAGGGGAGGAGCAGUGCGUGCUGCGUCCCUUCAUUGGAGCGCUGGAGCUCUGACUGAGCAGCUCGCUUGUUGCACUUGUGCACCGACUGCGUCCCUUUGUCUUCACACCGUCCUGUGCAGCACCUUGUAGGUAAGCUGAGACAGUGUGGGAGAGAUGGGGGGACAGUGAGUGCUG